rnacentral:rRNA from 1 species
ACGAACGCUGGCGGCGUGCUUAACACAUGCCAGUCGAACGGAAAGGCCCUGCUUUUGUGGGGUGCUCGAGUGGCGAACGGGUGAGUAACACGUGAGUAACCUGCCCUUGACUUUGGGAUAACUUCAGGAAACUGGGGCUAAUACCGGAUAGGAGCUCCUGCUGCAUGGUGGGGGUUGGAAAGUUUCGGCGGUUGGGGAUGGACUCGCGGCUUAUCAGCUUGUUGGUGGGGUAGUGGCUUACCAAGGCUUUGACGGAUAGCCGGCCUGAGAGGGUGACCGGCCACAUUGGGACUGAGAUACGGCCCAGACUCCUACGGGAGGCAGCAGUGGGGAAUAUUGCACAAUGGGCGGAAGCCUGAUGCAGCAACGCCGCGUGCGGGAUGACGGCCUUCGGGUUGUAAACCGCUUUCGCCUGUGACGAAGCGUGAGUGACGGUAAUGGGUAAAGAAGCACCGGCUAACUACGUG